CGGCCCACUGACUAUACGGAAGUUGGAGUGCUUGCACAAAGAUAGAAGUAUAUGACGUGGAUCCUCCGCCUAGUGGCGCAAGGGUGAGUAACACGUGGGUAAUCUGCCUUUGAGUCUGGAAUAACAGUUAGAAAUGAUUGCUAAUGCCGGAUGAUAUAUAGUGCGAUACGUCAAUCUAUAUUAAAAGGGGCCUUUAAAGCCUCGCUUAAAGAUGAGCCUGCGCUGUAUUAGCUAGUUGGUGGGGUAAUGGCCUACCAAGGCAACGAUGCAUAGCCGAACUGAGAGGUUGAUCGGCCACACUGGGACUGAGACACGGCCCAGACUCCUACGGGAGACAGCAGUUAGGAAUAUUCGUCAAUGGGGGAAACCCUGAACGAGCAAUGCCGCGUGAAGGAUGACGGUCCUAUGGAUUGUAAACUUCUGUUGUUAGGGAAGAACGACCAAUGUAGGAAAUGACAUUGGAGUGACGGUACCUUUCAAGAAAGCUCCGGCUAACUACGUGCCAGCAGCCGC
rnacentral:rRNA from 1 species